GAGGAAGCCGGUGAGACUCCGGCACGGUCCCGCCACUGUGAGCCAGGCAGCGAUGCCGGGUGAGUCAGGAACUC
rnacentral:sRNA from 15 species